UUGCAAGUCGAGCGGAGAGAGGUAGCUUGCUACUGAUCUUAGCGGCGGACGGGUGAGUAAUGCUUAGGAAUCUGCCUAUUAGUGGGGGACAACAUUUCGAAAGGAAUGCUAAUACCGCAUACGUCCUACGGGAGAAAGCAGGGGAUCUUCGGACCUUGCGCUAAUAGAUGAGCCUAAGUCGGAUUAGCUAGUUGGUGGGGUAAAGGCCUACCAAGGCGACGAUCUGUAGCGGGUCUGAGAGGAUGAUCCGCCACACUGGGACUGAGACACGGCCCAGACUCCUACGGGAGGCAGCAGUGGGGAAUAUUGGACAAUGGGCGCAAGCCUGAUCCAGCCAUGCCGCGUGUGUGAAGAAGGCCUUAUGGUUGUAAAGCACUUUAAGCGAGGAGGAGGCUACUUUAGUUAAUACCUAGAGAUAGUGGACGUUACUCGCAGAAUAAGCACCGGCUAACUCUGUGCCAGCACCCGCGGUAAUACAGAGGGUGCAAGCGUUAAUCGGGAUUUACUGGGCGUAAAGCGCGCGUAGGCGGC
rnacentral:rRNA from 1 species